rnacentral:rRNA from 1 species
GCAAGUCGGACGGAUGGUUUCGGCCAUCAGUGGCGCACGGGUGAGUAGCGCGUGGGAACCUGCCUUUCAGUGGGGGAUAACCGAGGGAAACUUCGGCUAAUACCGCAUGCGCCCCGGGAAACCGGGGGAAAGAUUGAUCGCUGAGGGAGGGGCCCGCGUCGGAUUAGCUGGUUGGUGGGGUAACGGCCUACCAAGGCGAUGAUCCGUAGCUGGUCUGAGAGGAUGGCCGGCCACACUGGAACUGAGACACGGUCCAGACUCCUACGGGAGGCAGCAGUGGGGAAUCUUGCACAAUGGGCGAAAGCCUGAUGCAGCGACGCCGCGUGGGGGAUGAAGCUUCUCGGAGUGUAAACCCCUUUCGAUCCGGACGAAUGUCCCGCAAGGGAUUGACGGUACGGGUAUUAGAAGCCCCGGCUAACUACGUG